rnacentral:rRNA from 1 species
AAAGUACUUGUUUCAAAUAUUAAGCCAUGCAUGUCUAAUUAUAAAGGUUACAUACAAUGAAACUGCGAAUGGCUCAUUCAAACAGUUAUAGUUUAUUUGAUAUUCAAACUUAUAUUUUCUUAUUAGUUUAAAUGGAUAACCGUAGUAAUUCUAGAGCUAAUACAUGCGUUACGGGGGACUUUACGGAACCUCAGUAUUUAUUAAAUUAUUAAACCACCAUUCCGCAAGGUCUACUGAAAUGAUUCAUGAUAACUGAUCGAAUUGCUGGGUCUACCAGCAAUAAAUCAUUCAUGUUUCUGCUUCCCAUCACCUUGAUGGUAGUGUAUUGAACAACCAUGGCAUUCACGGGCUAUCGGGGGAUUAGGGUUCGAUUCCGGAAAGGGAGCCUGAAAAACGGCUACCACUUCUACGGAAGGCACCAGGCGCGAAAAUUAUCCAAUCCUGACUCAGGGAGGUAGUGAAAGAAAUAAUGAACUAGGAUUUAUCCUGGGAUCACAAUGGGCUUGAUUUGCAAACUCAAUUUUAGCGAGGAACAAUUGGAGGGCAAGUCUGGUGCCAGCAGCCGCGGUAAUUCCAGCUCCAAUAGUGAGUUAGGUUCUUGCAGUUAUUCGAUGCUCGUAGUUGGAUUUCUGGAGGUUGCGACGGGAGGGUGGCUAUGGCCGCCGCCGGUCGCCUCCUUCAUCCACCUGUUAACGUCGUCCGGGAUUCAUUUCUCGGCUUCGGGCUCAGGUACUUUACCCUUUCUAUAUAAUAUUCAUUUAUUCAUCUUCUUUUUGAGCAAAUUAUAGUGUUUCAGGCAGGCGUGCGCCGGAAUACCUUAGCAUGGAAUAAUCGAACUGGACCGUGUAUCCAUUUGUUGGUUUGAGAGACACGGAAAUGGUUAAUAGGGAUAGUAAUUUUCAGGGGAGGCAUUAGUAUUUAAUUUCCAGAGGUGAAAUUCUUUGAAAUAUUAAACACUAACUUAUGCGAAAGCAUUUAUUUUGCCAAUAAUGUUUUCAUUAAUCAUUGAACGAAAGUUAGGGGAUCAAAGACGAUCAGAUACCGUCCUAGUCUUAACCAUAAACGUUGCCGAAUAGGGAUCGGAGGGCGUGCACAUUCCGCCUUUAGCAUCGUUCGAGAAAUCAAUGUUUUUUGGUUAAGGGGAUAGUAUAGUCGCAAGGCUAACACUUGACGAAUUGAAGGAAGGGCACGACCAGGAGUGGAGGCUUGCGGCUCAAUUUGACUCAACACGGGAAAUCUUCCCAUGUCCAGACAUAGCGAGGAUUGACAGAUUGAUAGCUCUUUCUAGAUUCUAUGGGUAUUUUUGGUGGUGCAUGGCCGAUCUUAGUUGGUGGAGUGAUUUGUCUGGUUAAUUCCGUUAAACGAACGAGACCUCAGCCUGCUAAAUAGUUACCUGUCUUUCUUUUCGAGACUUGCUAACUUCUUAGAGGGACGUUGUGUGCAACCACAAGGAAGUUGAGGCAAUAACAGGUCUGUGAUGCCCUUAGAUGUCCUGGGCCGCACGCGUGCUACACUGAUACGUACAACGAGGUAUAUGCAUUUAUGCAUGGACGUUGCUCCGAAAUAGACAAAGCUAAAUCUUCUAAAAUACGUAUCGUGCUGCGGAUAGAUCGUUGCAAUUAUGAAUCUUGAAGGAGGAAUUCCUAGUAAGCGCGGGUCAUUAACCCGCGUCGAUUACGUCCCUGCCCUUUGCACACCCCCCCAGUCGCUCCUACCAAUUUCGAGUGCCUUGGUGAUCCUCUUUGGACCGUCGCGCAAUCGCGAAAUUAGAGUGAACCUGGUCACUUAGAGGAAGGAUAAGCGGGUUAAUAAUUCG